rnacentral:lncRNA from 1 species
GGAGCACAGGUGAAGGCAGUUCACCUGUGUGACUGGAAGGGGUGGAGCCUGCCUGCACCUCUCUUAGACCUCCAUUUAAGGGCUGACUGCCACUUGGGAAGGAUCUUUUUCUGGAGAUUCUUCCCUGGUGGAGCUUUCCCCUGAGGACCUGGAAUCUUCUGACGUGUGUAACAGUGCCUGAGGAGAUACAUUAAGGGAAACAGAAGGCUCCUCUUCCUCAUCUCUAACGUGUUUGGCUGCAGACACCACAAGCUGAAAUUCUGAGUGACAAGCAUCAUUUCUAAGACCACAAUUUCACUUGGAAAAGUGGAGCAGAGUUGGAGGAGGAGAUGGAGGAAGAGAGAUUAAACAACUCAGAAAACAGAUGGAGAAAUGGAAUAGAAUCACUACUGGUUUAACUUUAAAAUCACCUCAGUGGAUAUUUUCAACAUUGGACAGCAAGGCAUACAUUUUCAUAAAAUACAAAGGAAAAAGUAAUACGAAAGCAAAGAAACAUCAAUCUUCUGGUAAGUUCAAAUAUGCUAUUUUUAUGCUGUGAGACUGUGGAAGGUGAGAUGCAGCCUCACUUUAGUAGUGUGCUGAUAAUCUAUGUUUAUGUUUUAAAAAAGCACAAGGCACAAACAUUAUUUUCAAAGACUGGAUGCUUUCUCCCUUUCUGUACUAAGUUUGUGCUUAUGUCUUGUAUAAUGAUGUCUUAUGAGUUUAAUUUUCAAAUACCAUUUUUAAAUGUACAUUCAGCUACAGUUGUUGAAGUGGGGAAAAAAAUAAAGGUUUCCAUGCAAAAUUUAGCACCAUUCCAUCAAGGUUUAUAUAAGAGACCCAAUCAGGCCAGGAUCCAUCAACUGGAAUCUUCAAGAAACUCUUGGGUAGUUCUUUUCCUCAUUUUUGCUGCCACCACCGAUGAGCAACUUGGUUUUCCUUUACGAAGUUCACUCCUUACUCUGCCAAAAGAGUCUUGGCAAAUAUUUUUUACAUGAAACAGACGGUCUGUAAUUAAAUGCUUGUAGAUGGCUGAACACAGUGCAUUAUGAAUGCUCUGGGACAUAUAAACAUCCUACAAGAAGAAUUUUGUCUAUAAUAUGAGUGAUCAAAAUGAAUGAAUUCUAAGCACAAUUUGAUAAAAUCUGUAAGACAACACAGCAACACUUCUGUCCCAUUAAAACUACUGUGAGAGUACUAUUGUUCUACCGUACCUUUAAAAAGCUCUGGAGAUCACCAAAGAAAGGAAGAUUUUUCAUGUUUUACUCCAGAGAAAAGAGCCAAUGCACCCCAAAGCACAGCUCAGGCAAAAGAACAUACAUGAAACCUGUAAACAUUAACAGCAAUUCUUCUGGAUGUAGGAUCUGAAUGUUUUUGCUUUCUUCCCCCAAAUAAUCCAGUCCUUCCUUUCUGCAGAUCUUGUAUCAGUAGGCUUAUAGUAAGGUUGAUCAACUGUUAACUUUUCAAUUGUGAUUUUGACUUGUGCACCACUUUGCAGCAACAGAUGAAAGAUACAAGAAUUCUUCCACUGCUUGCCUGAGAAGUGGAGUGAAGCAUUUGUGGAUUCUGUGCCAUGUUAAUAUGGACAGGUAGCUUCAGUGGAAUACUUCCCAUUGUGAAGAUGUAUCUACAGGACUUCUGGAUGAGAGUAUUCAUCUUGACCAAUCUUUAGCAUGUACACAUUAUGCAUUGCCCAAGUGCAACUUUCUCAUUUGAUCCCAGUUUCCAAAUGACUUUCCAUUAUCUCAAGCUCUAAUAGAUUACUUAGUGUAGUCUGUAUGUAUAAGUCUAUAUGUCUAGUAUUAGAUAUGGAGGUUGGUGGCCCUGCAUGCGGCAGGGGGACUGGAGCUUGAUGAUCCUUGAGGUCCCUUCCAACACAAGCCAUUCUAUGAAUCUGUGAAAAAAGUAAACAUAAUGCACCUGAAUUGCCACUCCCAAGAAAAGCAACAUGACUCCAGCUUAAGGGCAUAUACCGGCUCAUGUGGGAGCAUGUUUAAAACGGGUUGGGAAAUGUUGAAUAUUUGGUUUUGAUUGAAAAAAAAUAUUUUGACAUUUCGGAACUGAUUUUUUUUCUAAACGUGUUGGUCUUUGGAUGAAAAUAGUUUUAAAAAUAUCAGCUUCUUUCCCUAUGAAGGAAAUUUCAUCUGUCAACUGGCUGUACCAUCCAAAACUAGUCAAAGGCAGGAAUAAGUAGAAAACACAUGUCCUAAAUAGGUACCUCUCUGUCUAUUGCUGAGCCCAAGUUUAGCUCAAAUGGAAUCGUUUGGAUUGGGUUGCUUGUCUUUUUUUAAUGGCCUAAUUUUGUAGCAGUAGCCAUGACUAUCAUAACAACCAAAACAAGAAAAACAUGGAAUUGGACUUAGAGUUAGUACAUUUUGUCUGCCUGUGAAGACAAAGUCCAACUCAAACCUCUCACUCCUAAACACAUGCUAAUUUUUUAGAUUUGACUGGAUUUUAGGUUUUAAGAUGCACAGCUUCUAAUGUAAAUCUCUCUCUGCUACCAUUAACUACAUCAGAUACAGUUAUGAGGAAUGAUCUGUAGGCUUACAUAUUUCUCUAACAGGUUCUAUACCACCUUGGAGUUAUUCAGUUACAAAGAGAGAGAAAGAAACUGUUUUUAUGCCAAAUCCUUUGUCCUCCGUAAUUUUGGGAGCAUGUGGGAUUUCUGCCUGGCAGGUCAUUCUGCUCUGAUUUCUAAGGUUCCUUCAUUAGGAGGUGUAGUGGAAAUGCUAAGUCAUGGCCUGAAACAGUGAUUGAGCACCUGGUGGGAAGGCAGGGCCAACCCAGGAGAGCUCAGCUGCAUGCAAUCCACCUGAGUGAUUGGAAGGGUUGCAGUCAGGAUCCACCCCUUCCCAGACCUCAUUUAAGGGUUGGCAGUAGAGGCAAAGGUAUUGUGCUGGAGAUCCCUGCCUACUGGAGGUCUUCUAAAGGUAAGCAGUUUUUCUUCUUCUGUUUCUGUGUUCCCACCUGCUGUAUUUGGGCUUGUUCUCAUUUGCUGCAGCCUAGGAUAGUGUUACUCUGCUACUAUUGCUAUACUUUCCAUCGUGUUAUAGGUGAGAUAGCUGAUAGUCGCUCAGUCUGAAAGAGACCUGCUCAUCAUUUCAAUCCAGUGGCAAUGGGUUCCCCUGAGUGUCUCCCUUCUUCCACACAUUUCUUCCUCUUUAUGUUCCUAAUGCUAGGACCUGCAAAGUAUCCUGCAUGAGUUUUGCUAUCAACAUCUCUGUUCGGUAGCUACAGCAGAGGAUUUCUCUUCCAGCCGUACACAGAUACUUGUAUUCCCUGUUUCUUAAUAUAUUGAAAAGUAAAGGUAUUUGACUCAGCAUCCUGGCUGAUCUUUACUUACCUCCAUGAAACACUUUUUCUGCCUAAUAAGUAAAAACUCAGAGAAUGUGAAGGACAACCUGCAAAAGAGAGUAGGCAUGGCAUGACUACAUGCAACUGUGAAAGGAAACUUGCAAUAUUUAUUGUCCCCUUUCUUAAGGGUCAGUUUUUGGACCUGGGUUCAUCUAGCUUUAGAAUUUCCCACCACUGCAACACACCAUCUACUUGGAAAGGGGCUAAUCACAGGGUCUUUUUCUAGGUAGUUUGUAGUUACCUCUGUUGGUGUUAAAUUAAUCCCUUCACCUUUCUUCUCUGUUAGGCCUCUCUGCGUUCUUCCACUUACUUAAAAAGCAAAGUAUCUUUGAAUAAAGCUUUCUUAUUUUACAGUAAUUUUGGUGUUAGCACUGGGGAAAUACUUUAGGCACAAGAUUAUUGCCAACAAUCCUUUAUUUUCUGAAAGAAAAAUAGGAUGUUUCUUGGCAACACCAUCUGUGAGAAAUAGGAUCCUCCCAAACAUUUGGGAAAAAUCCCUACUGCCAGCUCCCACACAUCACAUUAUUUUUCCCUUGGUAUUAUGUUGUCUCUUAAAACAAUGACUUACGUGAAGAAGUAGAAACCAACUGAGUCAAAUGCAGACUUUACUUAUAUACUCAUCAUCUGGAGUGAGAGCCACAUCACUGCCAUGGUGUCAGGAAGCCGGAGGCACACAUGUUGGUCCCUUGUACAGGGCCCUAGAGCAAUCUAGGUAUCAAAUGUGUAUGUAAUAGCCUGGUAUUGCUGGUUUAUUGCUAUCUGUGAAAAGCUAUAGGAAGAGGAUUUGUUACCUGGAGCACAACUUCCCAAAUCUCAGUCAGGACUGAGACUGUUCAUGAUUCAGAUCAACAUGUGGGAAGAAAUUAGCUGUCUUUACUAUCAGUGUGUUCAGCCUGUAGUAUAAUACGGCACUGAAUGUGGAGUUACAAGACCUUGUUUCAAGAAAAACUGUUGUGCAAUGUUUCUGGACAUACUGUUUGAUCCUGUUUUCUUUCACUCUGUGCAUGCGUCAUUUCUUUGUCUCCAGUGAACAGCAAAUUGAGUCAUGACUUUGAAUCUUGAAACAGGUGAACUAACUGGGAGGGAGUGAGAUGAUGGACUCAGACACAGCUUGUUUCCCCCAGCUCUCUCCCCUCCAGCACAAAUCAGCUUAAAAGAAGAAAGGAGAGGGAAAAAAAAAAAAAAAAAAAAAAAGGAACAAUAAAGUGACUGAGAUGGCAGGGAGUAGAAAGACCUGAUUUUCAUUGAAAUCACUUUCAAAGCAGAAUCUGAAGCAAAAAAAUGGAAACUAUUUGGAAGAAGGGCAAUGUUUUUUUCAGCUAUCCAAAUAGGAAACUGGGAGAGAUGGAGUCUGAACUUCUUGUUGGAAAUGCAUCUUUUGUGAGGGAUAAGAGAGAAUUGUAAGGGACAAAUUGGAGAUGUGAUAGAUUACUUGUGGUUGUGACUCUUCAGCAGAGAAAAGGAAAGGAUGUUAUUAAUUACAGGUUUAUGGAAAAAUCUCAUAAAAGAAAGAAAAGAGUGGUAAACAUGAACAUGACUCAGGGGAUUUAGAAUGUAAUGCAAACCUAAAAAUGUGACCAGUGACAACCAGGCAGACAAACUAUAAAUACAAGUAGUCAUGAGAAGCUGGCCUGGUAUAAAUGACCUUAGGAAUUUGAGGCAGAAAAGCACAUUACAUUCGAGGUGUUGAACCCAAGUCCUAAAUAAAUGCUUAAAACACUCCCAGGAUUGGAUAUUUCUAUUACUGUUUUCACAAAUUUCCUUUCCAGAGAAGUCUGUUCUGGACAGCACGUCUGACCUCCUGUGUUACUCAGGUCAUGUAGUUUCUCCCAGCCAUUUCUUUAUCAAGCCUCAAACCCUGAAGUUGAAUGAGAGCCUAUCUUUCAAAGGGCAGUAUGUCUUGCAUAGAAGAUUCCAGCUGGUAGUUCACAGAGCUCUGGUCAGUUGCGUUUUCCAUUUAAAAGCCCAUCCUGUUUCUGCGUUGAACCUUGUAGCUUUCAGCUUCUAGCUAUUGGGCCUUCACAUGUCUUUGAUUACCAGAUUUAAGUGCUUUAAGGGUUAUUAUUAUUCCCAGCUCUGCAAAUUCCAUCCAUAGGGUAUAAAUGCCAAUGCAGGCAGGAUUAUGAGAGGAGAAACCUCCUCUGUUAACACAGAUGUUGCCCACUGUUUGGAACUUUGCAAAAUCUGGUUCAACAGGCAAAGUGAGCUGAAGAAGAUGAUGGUUUCAAGUAUAAAACUGUAGCAAAUGCAAGUAUUUUCCCUACUUAAGUAGGACUCUCAUGAGAAGAUAGACGUUCCUGAAGUGAGAAAGAUCUUUCCUGUAUACUUAUCAACACAGAGCUGAGUGGAAUUAUUUAAGAUCAACAAUCAACUAGGCAGGAAACUUGAUUACACUGACCAGCUGUACCAAGCUCCUUGCUGCUUUCAUCUUGUGGGGAAAAACCCCCCUCAACUUAUUUAUUUUUAAAAGUGAGAGAAGGAAAGAUUGUCCAGCCCUAAACACUUUGUUUUCAGACUUACUGAAGAAUUCAGUGGUAGGUGCAUUUGGCAUGAGUUUGGAUUCAAACUUAUUUUACGUAAUAUCAGAGUAUUCUCAUGAAACCAGAAGUUAGCCUAUCAAAUUGUAGCACAGAAUAAUUUAAGAUUCCUGUCAAGCUCAUUUGAAAGUAUUUCUUUUUCUGUUCUUUGUGCGAGAUUCCCAUUUGUACCUCUCUGAAACUGAAUAUAAAGAACUCCAUAUAAUCUAUGGUUUACAUUAUUAUUGCACCAGUUUUGAGAAUAAAUCUAUUUUUAAGAUGUACGGUAAAGAACGUACCACAUGUCAAAGAAUUGCUGUUGCACAUUCUCCCUCUGAGCAGCACUACGGCUCUCCUGCCUGUAUUGCAAACAGUUUUUUUUUUAAUAAAAAAAAAAAGCAGGCCUCUUUUCCCAGGCUCCUGUUAGAUGUGAGCUGUCUUCCUGAGAGCUGUAUUUUCAUCUUGCUAUAUUUAAAAAAAAAAAAAAAAGUCUAGUUUUAGCAUAAAGUAAUUACCACAAGCUUAUUAGUGUGCCUGACUCAGGCACUGCAGGCUGGGCAGAUGUCUAAUGUGCACACAUUCUUUGACAAACUUUUAUACAGCCACAGAUGAGUCUGGGGAAAAAAAAAAAAAAGCAUAGCAAUGAAUUCCUGCAGAUGGAUUAAAAAUUAAAAACAAUGAUACCUUCAGAAGAAGACAGCAUGAGGUGUGUAUUAACUCUUUUUUAUCUUCACUACUGAUAGUAAGUGUUAUCUAGAUCUAAGAAUAACAGUCUGUGAAAUGUCUCACACUCCUGAAAGGGGGAUAGCUUUGAAGUUUCUUCUCAUCACUAAAUAGGAUUUCUGCUCUGUGGAGCUCUUUUUUGGAAGGUGCCUCCUGCAGCAGCUUUUCAUUAUUCACCCUUCAGUACCCCCUGCAAGACCUUCCCAUCUCAGCACGCUCCCUAUUGUCCAUAUUCACAUAGAAUGCAAAGGAGGACAGGGAGAAAGCCAUCCACAGCUGAAGGCAACCUGUCCAAGUUCUGCACCAGUAACAUCACACCGAUCAGUGGGGACGUUGCUCUCUAAAGGAUACAGGAUGACAGGAGAAGGGCAAUAACACUUUUUGCAUCCCUGGAUUAUGGGUCCUUUAUUGAUUAUAGCCACAAAUGUAGAUGAAGUAUUAUGAAGCUUGUUUACAGUGUUAUCUGCUUGCCUGCCAGUCAUUGAUUCUCUCUGUUAACAUCUUCACUUCUAAGUACAAGAACAGAAGAAGAGCCUUCAGAUGUUCCAUCUUUAGAUAUCUGCACCUUUAUUGCUGUUAAAACUCAAGUAGGACCUAUUUCAAUAUUUCAAGAAACUGUUCUGGUGACAAAGUUACAGCUUCUGGAAUGGUUGUUUUUACAUACUUAGCAUCAAGAGCAAUCACAGUUUUGAUGAACUUGCCCAGGUUCCUCUUCUGACUGUAUGGGCAAGCUCAGGAUGAGAGAUUUCAGUUCAUACUUUCUUUUUUUGGUCUUUCUGCAAAAGGAUCCUGGAAAGCAGUAGCUUGUUUGCUUUCUACCUUCUGUUGUAUAUAUUGUAAGCAAAAAAAAUAAUAAUAAUUAAAAGACAAGAUCUCCCUUACCAAGAUUUCUCUUCUUUGUUAUGCAAAUAGCAGGCAGACUUUCACUCCUGAUUCUUCUUUCUAAAGGCUUUCUGGUUCAAUGAAUCUGAAUUUGGUUUAUUCCACCAGUGCAUUUUGGAUGUUUACUAAACCAGUGUACGUGCUCGGUCAGACUAGGCAUUUUUCUGUUGGUGGUUUGAGGAAUAGCUGCUACCUUUUUAUUUCCUCUCCCUUUUUUGGGAGGAGAAAUUAAAUUUCUGUUUUUGUACUGACUGGAUUAACCAGAUGGUCUAAACAAAUUCAGACUGUGCGGCCUGAUUGGAAGCUGUCAGACAAAAUCCAGGUCAGAAGCUACAGUUCACUGCUCAUAGAGAUAGCACUCUCUAGGAGUAUGAGACAAGACUAUGGCAGUGUCUUGUCAUCAUCUUAUUGUUGGGGUGGAACCCUCAUAUUCUUGUUGCUUCUUUUUUCCAUACAGACAGGAUUUGUGGGAAAGGUGACAGAUAAUUGUUUUUAUUAUUAUUCUAGAUCAUGCUUACAGCUUCUUUUCCAGUCAGACAAUAAAUAAAUGCAUUUUCUGGUGUCUCCUUUAGGGGCGUUUUUUCAUUGUGAUUCUGUUUUUCAAACUAGGAGGAUGAUGUGAAUCCUUCAGCUCUUAGUGAUGCCUGGUAUAUGCCCACUAGAGGUCUUUUCUCCCUUCUGCAGUAAUUUGUGCCUUACAUAUGAUGCUAUGGCAAUUUCAUUCAGGUCAGAAAUGAGCUUGAAUGCAUUCACCUUAGACGCACUGCUGAUGAAAGCUUUGUUGAAACUUAUGGUCUUUAAAACAGCUCCAUCUUGAUGAAACAGGAUGUUUUGAUGAAACUUUAAUUCAUUGACAGCACUUUCAAAUGUAAAUAGCAAACCAAAUUAUCUGGCUUCAGAAAACAUUUGGCAGAGAGAACAAACAUUUUUAGUGUCACCUGAGAUAUUUUAAUAAAAGGUAGAAUAACAAGGAUAGUAGUUGAUAAACUCAGAUUUGGAAUUAUUCCCAACACUUUCCAGUAAGGAAGCCUCAAGUUUUUGAAACAUUAUGUAGCUCAUAAGCACUCACUGGAUGUUCUGUUGGGUUUCAUUUAAUCCCUGCUUAGAUGUAUUCCUCUCCGUUUAGUAGAAAUACAGAGCAAAAACAAGCAAGGGAUGUGCUAUGAUUACCAAUUUAAUCCAAGGGUUUUAUUUCCAUCUUGUUUUCACUCUUUCUUAGAUACAUGCAUUGUCUCAGCUUAGACAAGUGAGUACUUCAGUGAGAGGGCCUUCAUUUUGUUAUAUUUGGUAUCUGUUCUACGUAUUCAUUUGUGACAGACACUACAGUAUGUCAUAAAUACUCAUUACUCAUAAUUUUGUUUGCUAUAUUUUGCUCCAUCAUCUGCUCUCUUUUUCCUAGUUAAAAUAUUAAUUAUACUUCUGGAGUUGCUAGGUACUCCUGAUGUUAGCCUCUGGGCCUGUUGUGUUACACAUUAAACAAACAUACAGUAAAAAAAAGUUUCAGAAUUCAGGGUUGGAUGCAAGGGAAGCAAUGUAUCUGCAAUGUUGGAUGCAAUGUAUCUGGGGAUGUAUUGAAUUAUAAGAACAGUAAGACAAAUUAAUCUGUCCUUACACAUCUGUGUGUUUUAGAUUACAGUUCCUAAAUACUUCAUGCUAUAGCAAGAAGCUCAAUGCUACAAAGCUAGAUUUCUUCAAAUGUAUUUGAAUUGUUUCUCAGUGUUUUCACUGUAAAGCUUACAUUUAAUUCUCAUAGCAUUUUUUUAAGUAUAGGUUAUCCUCUAGGUCUCUAAGUUCCUCAUCAAAACAAACAACUUCACUUUUUAGUCAUGUAUAGGAAUGUGAAGGAAAUGCACCACAUUAAUGAUGCAUAUUAUAGGAAAUCUACAAAAUCUUUGCAUAUUGUAUAAAACUCCUGACUUUCUGUUAGCUAAUAUGUAAAGAAGGCUGGAGGGACUGAAUGUAAGGCAUUGUGUGGGCAAAACAGUGCUAGAACAAAAAAAAAUAGUGCUAGAGGAAAAAAAAUACAUAGAAUUGCUAAGGCUGGAAAAGACCCACAGGAUCAUCCAGUCCAAACAUUUGUGUCAUAUCAUUCAAUGUGAUAUGGUCUGUGCUGGAACAGUUUGUUUUCUACUACCUGUUUUGACUUCGUUUCUAGUACCUGUCAAUAUUGUCCAUGCUUAGGGCCAAUGUAUGUACAACUGUAUGUAGAACAAAGUAUGCUGACUGUUGCACAUAAUGCAACAUAAUUCAUAGUCUCAGGUAUGUCACAACAGGUGAUUUGAAGAUGUGUAUGUAUACAUAUAUACUUAUUCUAGAUUGGAUGUAAAUUCUAGUUGUUAUUGAAGAUAUAUUUUUAAUAUUUUUUAAUAAUUGAAUAUGUGGAAGUGGACAGAGGAAAUCUAACACAAAUGCCAGCAAUACAGAGUAGGAAGAGAAAAUAAACAACCAGAUAACUCUAAUAUAUGAGCAAAACAACACUAGAAACAUGACUCUGAUUGGGUAAAAGCAGGUUGAGAGAGCCUUUUGUUAUUUGAUUCCCUCUAUGUUUGGAUUAACACAACUAUAAUUUCAGAGUGGCCAGAACUGUUGGGUAGUAAUGAAAGAGAUGGUUAGCUAUUCUGCUUAAAGAAAGCAGUGACAACAUAUAACUGGUUGUUAAAUGUGCUGUGUUGAUAAUAACUUUAUCAUUUAGUAGAUUUAAUAUUCAGAGAACUAUAGAAUGGUUUGGAUUGGAAAUGGACAACCCCCCCUGCAAUAGGCAGGGACAUCUCCCUCUAGACCAGGGUUGCUCCAGCCUGGCUUUGAAUGCUUUCAGGGAGGGAGCGUUCACAACCUCACUGGGCAACCUGUUCCAGUGUCUCAGCACCCUUACAGUAAAGAAUUACUUACAGUAAAUAAUUACCUACCCUCUUCCAGUUUAAAGAGGCAUCCCUUCGCCCUGUUGCUACCUGCCCUUUAUAUUUUUUUUCCUGCGAUACUUCUCCUCUGAAGAAAAUUCUGACUAAUUAAUUUUAGUGUCUGAAAAGUUUUGUUUUCUAACCUGAAAGAAGACCUUUUUAUGAUUUCUCAGAAACUCAUACACAGCUUGCACUUUCUACAGAGAUGUACAGACAAUGCUGUAACCUCAGGGCUUAUUUUACUUUUGCAAUUCCAUUCUUUAGUCAGUUUUGUAAAUAUAUAGAAAUUUGAAUCCUUUUUCAAAUGCUACAACAUGAACUUUAGUCACAGAGAACUUUGUUUGCUGAGAAAAAUAAAGCAGAUUGCCAAUCUAUAAGAUUUCUGGCAAAAGCUUAAAAAAAAUGCUGACAUUUUAAAAAUAAAUUAAGGAAGAAAUUAUCUAAUUGAGGUGAGAUUUAUAAUUUAAAAAAAAGAACCUCCAACCAUGCCUCCAGGAGGUAGCUACCAAAUUUGGUCACUGGAUGCAUAUAAUUACAUCACUAGAAAUCCGUAACAUGAGACCUCAGAGAGUUCCGGGGACAGAAGAGGGCCGAGUUCAAUCCGGGUGUUGUCCAUAUAUGGCUGCAAAGGACAGCCGGUGUCUGCGUGGAUGCAGCACAGCCGUCAGCACAGAACUGGGACAAAACAGAGCCACGACAGCGUGCUCCCGCCAGCAGCCUUCUUCUGGGAAUUUCAGGAAUGCCCUCAGCACUUAUUCAGCAGGAAGCUAUCGGUUAAAGGCACACCGCCACGGUUCUGUGCGUUUCUUUACUGAAGAAGCUUGUGUCCCUUUCCAAUAGAUGUUACUUAGUUACAGGGGUAGAUGAUCAUGUGUUUUCUGUAACAUUUAAUCUUUUUAAAUAUGAUCUGCUCUUUCCUACCUAUUUUUACUGCCCACUAUUUACAUAUAAACUAGUGUUGCCUUUUACUUCCCACAUAGUGAAUAUCUAUUUCUGAAACAAAUUUAAUAUGUUUGAGUCUAAUGAGUCAUGAUGAAUAACCAUUUCUUAGUCAUGAGGAAUGCCACAUUAGAAUGAUAAGAAAUGCUUCUGAGAGCAAUUCACAGUGUAUUUCAGAAUGUGAAUGAUUUGACAGAUAAUGAAAAAAAAUAAGUCUGUACCUUGAACAAAUGUUGAUAUUUGUGAAUGGAUAGAUUACUUUACCAAGAGAAGCUGAAGACUUCAAGGCCAUCUGUGAAUGGACUGUCCAGCCUUAUGUGCCCGAAGAAUCAUAAGUACGUUUUGAGUGUUCUACAAAAGCACAUUCCUCAGGUAUUGCAGGUAAGAGUGCUCUAGCCUAAAAGCAAAGGAUAAUAGUCAUAUUAGUUUAAAUGGUACUGAUUACAUGUGUAAAAUUAAACAAGUAAACAAGUCCCAAAGUGCUCUGAAGAGUUGCUAUCUUACAAGCUCAAACCAUUGCAGCAGCUUUAAAUGGAAUGUAUGAGAACAGCACAGACUCAGUGAGAAGUGGAUGAGCUACUGGUCCAAAUCAGGUUUUCUGAGGGGUUUUGUUGUUUUCUGAAUCAAAAUUAUCCUCAGAUUUUUUUAAAUUAAGAGUAGAUUCAGAGUUUAAGUGGUCCCACAGAAAUCCCACACACCUUUACACAAGUUUACUUCCUACACACGUAGAUAUAUGUGCAGGUGUAUAGUGAGCAUUUUCUGUGUACACUCAGUCCUGUGUGCACAACAUAGCUGAAAGGAGAUAAAUCACAUUUUAGAGGCUAUUUUUUUUUUUUUAAACAAUGACAGCAGUAUAUAGCAUACUUUGCUUGUAGAAACUGUGAUCUAACAUCUGACCCAGGGUUAAAACUUCUAUGCAUACCCAGAUACCUAAAUAAUAGCUUUAUUUUAACUGGUCUGGUACUCUGCCAGCUCCUCAUACUUCACCUGGGAGCCAGAUAUUUUACACAUCAGUCAAAAGGUGUUUAUGUGCGCAACUAUAAAUAAAAAAUCCAUUUGAGGAGCAAAGUUUGCAAAAGGCUUUUGAUCUGUAGCAUCACAGUAAAACACAAUAUAUGUAAAGAUGCACAUAUAUAUGUAUCAACUAUAAGGAUCAUUUGCUUUAAAGAUUUGUUUCUUUCAAAAGAGACCAGUUACGGCACCAAUUUCUGCACAGCCAUUGGUUUGAGGACAUUGUCUAUUACUUAAGGAAUGAAUUUCACAUCUCACCUCCUCCAGAACCUUCUUAGCAGCAUGUCUCAUUACACUGGGUUUCCUCUGACACAGAAGGACAGCAGGCCGUGAGUGACAGAAACCUCCCUAAUUGAAGCACAGAAAUAAUCAAAUGCUCCUUUGUUUUUGCCCAAUUUGACAGACCAUCAAGAUGCACUGGGGAACUGGUAUUUCUGUCUACUUCAUUAUGAGAAUAGAAGCCAGGAUACAUCACCUUUGCCUUCCCUCUUUCCAUUUGUAGAGAUUUAUGCAGCUCAUCAUUUGUUAACGGAAUGGUAAAGAGUUAACACACCAUUCUUUCAUAGUAGAAUAGCCUCACGUGUUUUUCAUUUUCUGGUUUGGAAACUCACAGAAAGAUUACCACUGGCAUGUUAUUAAAAAGACUGAUAUGUCUUUGAAGUAGAGUGCUGCCUCUGUCAUCAUCUUUUACCAAAUAAUGGUGCAAACCCUGAUUAAACACUUUUUUUUUUUAAAUGAACUUCACUUUUAGCAUAGGAAAAAAAAAAUGAAAGGUAAUGAUUUGAAAACAAAACACCAAAUACUAUUUUGCAGGAACUGUAUGGCAAAUGGAACGGAACAUGCUAGCUCUACAGGAAACAAAAGUAAGCAAUAAACUAUGUCAUCACUACCUCUGUUCUUUUUUGAUAGAUAGGGAAACAUUAUUGCAAAGUUCAGUAAGUUCAAUAUACAGUCUUAUUGAAUGAAGUGAAAUAGGCAUAAGAAUUGCUGCUUCAUUUUACAUUUUCUUUCAAUGGCAAGUUAUGAGCAUUAGCUAUUGCAAAUCUAGCCAUCUGCUUACAAUCUGUAACUAGAAAGAGUUCUCCACGUGUCUGCACUGAUACAUGUUCAUGUCAGUGCAAUAUAAAGUAACUUAAACUUCUCUUACUUUUUCUCCUCAAUUAGUUGCUCCUUGCUACCAAUCAAUGCAAGGUAUUGAUUCUAAGUAUUGGUAAGGAGUGUUAUUGGCUAUGUUAUAUAGAUAAAACCAUAAGGAGCAGGCCAAAGAACACUGAUGCAUCCAUCCAUAUACUAAUGGUGUGAUUGCACAAGAUCCUAGAGUUUCUUUUGGGCUGCUUUGGCUGCAUGCCCAUUCAACUUGCACUCUCCCAACAUGGCCCAGAUAUAUUGACAACAAACACAGAGGAGUCCAGGAGCUCCAGAAGUUUUUAUACCAGCUAACAGAAAUAAAACAAUUUGGGUAGGACAGUACAGUUUUUCAUUGUUUAGGAAUGUUCAGGAUGCACUAGUAAUCCUGAUGAUCUUAGGGGCAUGGAAUAGUCAUUUAUUAUAGGCCUUUUAUAAAUUUGGCUGCUCCUUUUCAUGUAGUAAAAGACAAAAACAAAAAGGUCUGGAACACAGAUUUGUAAAAUGGAUAUAGCCUUUAAAUAUUGGUUAGGUACAACACUAGAAGACAAUAAUAAAGUAUAAAACACAUGCUUUUAUAUGAGAUCUUACUCUAGAAAUUAUCAGGGUUACCUAGAGCUGAAGUUUAAUUGAACUUUUUCCUUCUAUCUGCUCAAAAGCUGCAAAAUACGAGUAGGAUAGCAAGGAUAAAGGGAAGCCAAGAAAGCUUAGUCUUGAAUCUUUCAUACACUUCUCCUUUAUUCUUGGAGAAAAAAAGGUAUAAACCACUAUAAAUGAAUGGUAAACAGCAUCUAACAAGAACAUCUACCUACCUCCAUCUGGUUUCUGUAUUAAAAUGACUCUUACAUAACAUCCACUGACUUCUUUACUGAAUAGAGGAUAAUUAUUAAAAUAAAUAUUAAAACACGAUUUUGGAGGAUUAACAAAUAGAUACGUAUCUUUAAAAUACUGGGUCAAAUAUUCUGAGUAAAUCUGGAGUAGCUGAUGGUCCCAUUCACGCGCUGUACUUGGAAGAGCUGAAAUACACGCAGUACUUUUUAUAGCUGAGCUCAGAAGUGACAUUUCUCAAAUUUGACAUUACAUGAAUAUCCAAAAGAGCUGAAUGAUACUUUAGUCUGUCUUACUUUGUCUUACUUUACUUCAUGAAACAGCACACACAGCAGAAAAGAUCUGCUGUUCUUCAUGCAGAUUACAUGAAGGGGGCACAUUCUCUGCCUCCUUUCCUUCUCCUAUCUUUCAUCAAAGAAUUAUAUACUGUUAAAGUGGUGCCUAUUUAACGAACUCUUGCAGUAACUUCCUUCAUCCCCCUGAAAGGUUAAAUAUGGAGUGGGACAUAUUUGUUCUCAUAAAGCAGAAACUCAGCUCUUCCAAAAAUUUGUAAUAUUAGAAAAAAAACUUCUUCCUUCUGCUGUGGUUUGUUGAAGCUUGUUUUCUUUCAUGUCUUAUAAUAAGCCAUGGCAUUUAACGAUGCCUUCAAUAAACAUCACUAACAUUUUUUUCCCCUCUCUAGAUGCCAAUGAUUAAUCUUUUCUAUGUUUUCAAAGAACUUGUUUAAUGCCACAACCACAACGACAGCUUCCCACAAAAACAAUUUCUAGCUAAACCCUCCAUUUACUCCAGUAUUUAUUCAAUCAACAGAAGUCAUCUAUUGUCAUACAAGCAACAAAGCUAGCACGUUCAUCAAUUAAUGGAUAUAUUUAGAUACCUUUCUUAAUAUCUCCACCUCCUUUUCUUUGGUUAGGAAGGAUAAAAGUGAUUCUUACGUUCCAGCAAUAGAAGCUGAAAACAGUUUCUUCAAAUGACACGCUGCUCCUUUUUAAAAAUAGGUUGGUAGCAUGGGCCAGACAUGCCACGCAGGGUGGUGCAGUUAGACCACAGUCAAGGCCACGCUGUGCUCUUGUUUUCUCAGUUAGAAAGCACGGCUAGUCAAGGCAGGAAUAACCAUUAUAAAUGUUUCCAGGUCAAAUGUACCAGCUGUUUGUGGGUGAAGGCCUAGGCUUAAGUGAUGAGGUACUGCCAUUUGCACACUUCCUAUAUUUAAGUGUAAUUUACCAUGGUAAACAGGUGGUGCACUUUGGAAAACCAAAAUAUCAUGCUUCUUCAGAGCAUCCCUGACUUUUUCAGCCAGCCUUUCUACAGAAGCUAUGACAAACACUAGAUAUGGCUUCCCCACCUGACACCACUGCUUCAGUGUCUCUUUCAUAAAGAAUUUCUUCACAGUGGAAGCAUUCCUGUUUGUUCCAGUAAGCCUGGUAAUGACAGAAAUGAAUCUUUUCCAACCUAGUUUCCUAAAUGCAUGAGUGCAGAGGGAGGAAUUUAAACACAAACCAGAGCCAUUGACUAUUCAUCAGGGAAACAUUUCAUAUACACAGUGAGGAUUCCUUUACCAAGCUUGUACUUGAAUUGUAUAUUCAAUUUACGUUGUGCAGAGCUCACUGCCCAAAUAUUGUACAGUUUAACGUCCUCUCCCUGACCUUAUUCUUCCUUUGGGAUUCAGCAGAAGAGUAAAUAAAAGCUUCUCAUCUCUCAUGUUGACUGGACCUGACUGCUUCCUUUAUGGCAGGGCUAAGAAAUCUAAAGUUCAUCAGUUCUGACUUCAUGCAAAUUACCACAUAAUUUUUUUUUGAUAUUAAAGUUAGACGUCAUGAAGUACUUGGAAAAUGUAUGGCCUGCUAACCGUGUUUGAAAGGUUUCUUCCAUCCUCAAGAAAGAAAAAAGGUAUUCAUACAUGCUCUAUGGCAACUCAUAAAAAGAAUUCACAAAAUGUGCAUAUGAGCAAAGCCAGGAUGAGGCCCUGACACGCUGGGCACUAAGUCCUCAGCCAGAUAAAACUUCCACUGGCUUUCAUGAAUUGAAAAGAACAUCUGCAGUGCCAAUUUAUAAUCUCAGUGCACCAGUUCACACUCCUAAAAUUACUUUCAACUACCGCUAGAAUUAGUACUAAUUUCAAGAAAUAAGGACACAUUUCAGGCAUUUGAUGCCAAACUGUUUCAGUAACAGUACUUUAAAGUAAUGAGAUUCUGAUCCAAAAGAAGUGGAGAGCAAGAGACUUAAUAGAAUUUCCACUUAUUUUCACCAGGCUUAGCAGCAAGUGAAUUCUGAGCUCAACUCACAAGCAGAGAAUAGCUCCGCUCUGCAGUGAUGGACAGUGGAACCUGUUCGUUUCCUUGUAUGCCUCCUUAUGGUCAGAAGUUCAUUCUCUAAAACCAUGACCAUGGGAAAAAAAAAAGAAGUAUAAAUGUUCCAAUGCAUCCAGGCCUUCUUUGUAAAUCAGAAAUUUACUCCACUGACAGAAAGUCUCUAGUCAUGUAAUUAAAUCAGAUUAUAACUGGUUCUUUACAUUUAUGUUAACCUGAAUAGUGUUGUAUUACUUCAAUCUUUUAAUUCAACAGUGUUCAGAUGUUUGCUUUGCUUUUCAGGACUUUUCAUGUGAGAACUGCAGCAAGGAAUUUGUCAGAGACUGGGAGAGGAAGGCAAAAGAAGCUAAUAUUGAAAUGCAAAUUAUUAUAAGUGAAAGGAUUUUCUCCAUCUUCACUUAGUUUCUGCAGUUUAUAUCCUUAAAAUAAAAAGGAGUAGCUGAAAAUAUGUUACAAUAAAACCCAGUAACUUUGUCUCUUUCAUAUUCUCAGUCUUUGUUUUAUUUGGAGACUGGUACACAGAAUUUUAUCUAUAAAUCAAGCUCUUGGAAAUAAACUUGCUGAAAUCGCAAUCAGAAUCAAAUAUUUAUGUGAUGAUUUUUGUGAGAAGUUCAGUAAACGCGCUGUCAUCAGAUAAAUUCUCAAGAAAACAUAUCAGAUUCUUUUUUCCUCAGCUUGGAAAAAUAUGAUUCAGUCAUGUACAAGAAAAUUAUGCUUAACAAAACAGCUGCCUGAGCAGGCCUGCACAGCAGCACCUCCACCACACUGCCCAGUUUUUUUUCCCCCCAAUUGUUAUGGUGUAACAGUAUUCUUUUGACAUUUCCAACAGCUGACACUUGGACACUCACAGACCUGCUCUGCUGUCCAUCCCCAAACUGAUCCUGUUUGCUCCAUUUCCCCCUUGCUGUUGGUCUCCCUUCCCUGUGCUUUGAGCCAUUUAAGGCUGAUGGCUUCUCGUUCGUCAUCACAAUCACCUUGCCUUCUCCUAACAGAAAAUACAGAUCAUAUA